CAAAACUGCUGACUUUUUUUCUUUCUCAUAGUUUCAAAGAUGAUUUUAGUCAUGUUUCAUGAUUUCUCAUUCUCAUCUGCCAGUAUGGAAGCCCAUUUCUGCCACUGAAUAAAAAAGAAAGAAAGUGGCGAAUGAAACCGGAGAGAGCAGUGCGAGACCUCUGGCACGAUUCGCACGU